ACCUACGGGAGGCAGCAGUGGGGAAUAUUGCACAAUGGGGGAAACCCUGAUGCAGCAACGCCGCGUGAAGGAAGACGGUUUUCGGAUUGUAAACUUCUGUUCUUAGUGAAGAAUAAUGACGGUAGCUAAGGAGCAAGCCACGGCUAACUACGUGCCAGCAGCCGCGGUAAUACGUAGGUGGCAAGCGUUGUCCGGAAUUACUGGGUUUAAAGGGUGCGCAGGCGGAGGUGCAAGUCAGCGGUCAAAUUGCGGGGCUCAACCCCGUACUGCCGUUGAAACUGCAUCCCUUGAGUGCG
rnacentral:rRNA from 1 species